GACGAACGCUGGCGGCGUGCCUAAUACAUGCAAGUUGAGCGCUGAAGGUUGGUACUUGUACCAACUGGAUGAGCAGCGAACGGGUGAGUAACGCGUGGGGAAUCUGCCUUUGAGCGGGGGACAACAUUUGGAAACGAAUGCUAAUACCGCAUAAAACCUUUAAACACAAGUUUUAAGUUUGAAAGAUGCAAUUGCAUCACUCAAAGAUGAUCCCGCGUUGUAUUAGCUAGUUGGUGAGGUAAAGGCCCACCAAGGCGAUGAUACAUAGCCGACCUGAGAGGGUGAUCGGCCACAUUGGGACUGAGACCCGGCCCAAACUCCUACGGGGGGCAGCAGUAGGGGAUCUUCGGAUAUGGACGAGAGUCUGACCGAGCAAGGCCGCGUGAGUGAAGAAGGUUUUCGGAUCGUAAAACUCUGUUGGUAGAGAAGAACGUUGGGGAGAGUGGAAAGCGCAUCAAGUGACGGUAACUACCCAGAAAGGGACGGCUAACUACGUG
rnacentral:rRNA from 1 species